AGUGUCAGUUAUCCUGCCCCGUUUUGGGUGUCCAUGUGGGGAAAGUCUGGGGCUUUAUCUAUAGAAUGAACCAUGGGCAGUAGGCAGGCAGCUGGAGGAACAGCUGCCUUGACUCAAAUAGCACAGAAGGCGAUACUCUCUAAAACAGAGCUUGCCACCAGGGGUGCUGUAGGGGAGAAAAUAUUCUUUUCCUUACCCAUUGCUAGGUCCAUGGCUGAGGUACCUAUAGCAAAAGACAGAUUAACAAGAGCAUACCAAUUUAUUUAAAUUUCAUGUAACACAAGAGCCUUUGGAAACCAAGACUCAAAGAAACAGGGAAACGUGUUUUUAUGUUAAACUUGAUGAAGAGGGGACAGUGGAGGAGAAGUGUGAUGAGACAAAGGGAGUGUGAUGUAAUAGUAAUAAACUAGAGGGAACUUAGCAAGGCCAGUUUACUCAGAUUCUUCUCUGUGUUCCUGGGUGUUCAUUGAUAAGGACUGCUCAGCCCAGCGUGGUGGCUCACGUCUAUAAUCCCAGCACUUUGGGAGGCCCAGGCCUGUGAGCAUCUCUGUCUGAACCUGGAAGAGGAUGUACAAAGAGGUGAGGAGGAGGAAAGCACACAGCAUCACGGUCUUUCUCCAUACAGGUCUGGAAAAAGAACGGUCAACUCCCCAUGUUCUGGAUAAGGACAGAAACAAUGGCUGAUUUAAAGAAUUAUUUAAGGCAAUGGUUCUCAAUCUUGUCUGUGCAUUGGAAUCACUAAGAGAUCUUCUAAAAAUUCCCAACUCGAGGCCACAGUUUUUUUUUUGUUUGUUUUGUUUUGUUUUUUGUUUGUUUUUUUUAGCUUUCUAGGUGAUUCCAGUGUUCAGUUAAGUUUGAGAACCACUGAUUUGGAGUUUCAAAGUAACUAUAGUAAAAUUCUAGUUUCUAGUAAUAGUGGAUUUUUUUUUUUUCCUUUUUCAGACUAAUUCCCUCCAGGUUAACAAUCAUAAAGUGUGAAUGAACAAAAAGUUAAAUAAACAAAAAGCUAGUUGAAGGCCUGAAGAGUAACCAAAAGCAUAAACUGGAGGGUCGUCUUCCCCUAAAAGAAGAGAACUUCAAGAUGUACAAGUUUGCACCUUUUGCCUGAAGGCAGUCCUCAUUCUUCAGAAGGUUAGGGGUGGCAGAAAGCUGCAUCUUCAGUGGCUUGAGAUGUCAAGGACAGAAAUGGGGUGGGCAGAGCAGAGCAAAAGUUAAGAAAGUUAGGAGAAGAAUUCUGGAAAGAGGAGAACUGAAGAAGGAGCAAAUCUCAACCUCUGAAUAGAAAUUUUGUUCAAAUCCCUAGUUGGUUUGUGCAGCAGGGGAGACGCCAGUGGGCCCAUUGAAAGGCAUCAGCCGGAAGCUGAAAACUAAUCAGAGACUUCGGCUGCUAUCCAUUAUAGGAUGGUUUGAAGUUUCAGUUCAGGCGAAUGAGCUGCUUGAGGACAAAAGUUAACUAUUCUGAGAAAUGUAGCCAAAUCCAUAGUCUUUAUUAAUGUACCAUCCAUACUGUCCAGCAUAUAAUAAAAAAUCACUAGACAAGCAAAAAAAAAAAAAAAAAAAAAGUGACCCCAUACAGAAGUGAAAUAUGAUCAAUGGAAACUGAUUCUGAUUAGGACAUGUUACAAUUAGCAAACAAGUAUUUAAGGCAGCUAUUAUAAAUGCUUAUAAGGAUAUAUAUUCAUAAUUAGUAAUGAGGAAUCUCAGAGAAUUAGGAAUGCUAAAGAACCAAGUGGAAAUUUUACAUGUGAAAAAUACUAGCACUAUAAUGAAAGUCCACUGGAUACGUUCAUGAGCAGACUGAAGACAGCAGAAGAGUUAGUGAAUUGCAAAUAAAUUAUACAAAUUAUUCAAUAUAAAACAGAAACAAGACUGAAGAAAAAAGAGCUUCAGAGACAUACAGGACAACCUCAAGUGAUCUAAUGUAAAUUUGCUGGAGUUCUGAGACAGGAAAGCAAGAAAUAAAUUGAAAAAAUGGCCAAAAUUUCCGCAAGUUUGAUUUUAAAAUAAAUAAAAAAACAUAGAUUUACAGAUCCAAAAGUUCAAUGAACCCCAGCUAAAUAAGUACAAACAAACCAUACCUAGGCAUAUUUUAGUGACACUGCUGAAAUUCAAAAAUAAGACAGCCAGAGAAAGAGACAUUAUAUUUAUGAGAAUGAUACAAAUGACAGCUGAUGUCUCAUCAGAAACAAUGGAGGCCAAAAGACAAUAAAUGCCUGCCAAGUGCUGUAAGAAAAAAAGCUAUCAACCCAGAAUUCCCCAUCAGUGAAAUGAUCCUUCAAAGAUUAAAGUGAAAUAAAGUCAUUUUCCAUGAACUCAUUUUCAAAGCGUUUCAAUAAGCCUAAACUUGUCACUGGACUACAAUUCUCAAAGAAAUCAUUCAAGCUGAAAAGGAAAGACCUCAGAUGUCACUCAAAUCUAUAGGAGACAAUGAAGAACAUCAGAAAUGGUCAAUGUUUGGCAAAUAUAAAAGAUACAUUCUUUUUUC